GUGGGGAAUAUUGGACAAUGGGCGCAAGCCUGAUCCAGCAAUGCCGCGUGGGUGAAGAAGGUCUUCGGAUCGUAAAGCCCUUUCGACAGGGACGAUGAUGACGGUACCUGUAGAAGAAGCCCCGGCUAACUUCGUGCCAGCAGCCGCGGUAAUACGAAGGGGGCUAGCGUUACUCGGAAUUACUGGGCGUCAAGGGCGCGUAGGCGGCUCUGUUAGUCAGGCGUGAAAUUCCUGGGCUUAACCUGGGGACUGCGCUUGAUACUGCAGGGCUUGAGGCCGAGAGAGGGUGGUGGAAUUCCCAGUGUAGAGGUGAAAUUCGUAGAUAUUGGGAAGAACACCGGUGGCGAAGGCGACCACCUGGCUCGGUUCUGACGCUGAGGCGCGACAGCGUGGGGAGCAAACAGGAUUAGAAACCCCGGUAGUCC
rnacentral:rRNA from 1 species